AUAUUUUCUAUAAGUAACAAAGCUUCUCUUCUAGUUUCAGCUAUUCCAGUUUUAAAUGGCCAUUGGUCUCUUUGCCAUUACCUAUCUCAGUGUCUAAUCUAAUGCAAAUGAGUCUCUCUUCAUAGAUCAUAGAUCCAAUCUCAAACUCAAAACCGAACUCUUUCCUAUAUAUAUAUAACUAACUAGUACAACUAAAAUUGGCUAUAUAUUGCUGUUACACAAAUACGUGCACCUCUUUCUUUGCUUUCUAACGUUCUUGAUAAAAUUCUACAUGUAUUUCCAAAUGUCAUAAACAAAAUUAUCCCAAAUCAAAGUCAACUUAAUAAAUAAUAAAAAUAUUUGAAAAUUUUAUAUUAUGAAUUGUCACUGGAUAAUCAAAUGAUGAUCUAUAAUUGGUUAAUUUGUUAGACAAAAUAUAAAAACAUAUUCAUUUUUUCUUUUGACUUUUCAAUAUUUUAUCAUCUUUUAGGAUAGGAGUAUAUAUAUAAAAAUUGAGAAUAUUUGAAUGACAAAUUCCAUGAAAUUAUUAUAUCAUCAAUUUAAAUCGUUAAAAUUUCUUUAAUUUGUUCUCAUUAUAGGAAUUGGUAUUCCAUAAUUAGAGAUGUUUGACAACACAAAUAAGAAAAUAAUAAAAUAAUACAGCAUACAAUUUUUUACCAUCAUUUUUUAUCGAAAAAUACUUCACUCUAUUCCUUAAACCAUCCAUUAUAACCAUCGAACUAUCUUAUGAGUUAUCCAUCGACCAUUUAAUCUCACACCUACUAUAUGUAUAUAUUAUUUCCUCUCCAUAUUAAAAUUACUUUGAGUCUAUUCAUUUUUCAAAGAGAAUGGGAUAAGCUUUAGUUGGAGCUAAUAGAGUCGUUUGGUGAAAGAGUUGAAAUAAUAUAAUUCUUAUUUUUAUACUUACAUUUCUAUAUUUUGAGUGAGAGGUUAAAAGCGUGAUCAUAACUACUAAGGUUUUCCCUUUGGAUUUAGCUGCCUUCUAAUCCUUGAAGCAAUCAUGCAACUCUUGGAGUAUCAAUGUUUAGCACAACAAAGAUCAUCGAGCUCCAAGUGAUGGUGCAUAUAUGAUAUGUGGUAAGUAAUAUAAACCAUUUAAUUCCCAAAUACACAAUUCAUUUGUCUCGCAUUUUUCCCUUUAUGGGUGGCUCAUUUAUACAAGAUACCAUUAUAUCCAAGUAUGUUCACAUUGAUUUGCCCAUGAUUGCUUUUAUUGAUGAGAGUUCGGUUGUUUAGGUUUUAACUAAAGAGUAGAAGCUUAACCCGAGGGAGGUGGCAUGCGUGCAAUAAUUGCAUUCAUAUGGAAGUGGUGGCCCUGUGGGGAAGAAGAGCAUAGGCACAAAGUAAUGUACUCAUUAUUAGAAGAUUCAAAGGUGAUUGAGAUGUUAGUGGUGCACUUUAAGCGUUCCAUGUGCAAUAUUUGUCAUUGACUCUCAACUUUUGAACUGUAUUCUUAGUGGGGUGGAAGGAAAUGUUAAAGAGUGUCAUAUAGGCACUUGCUAAGAAAAUGUUAAAGAGUGUCAUAUAGGCACUUGCUAAGAAAAUUGAAGUAGAAAAUAUAUAUUGUAAAUGGUACAUUUAAGGUUUUAAAAAUUGAAGCAUUUUACUUUCUAAUGCAUAUUUUUUAUGUUUGAAAUUCUUAACAAGUGCUUUUAGGAUACUCUUUAGUAUGAC
rnacentral:lncRNA from 1 species